ACUCAGUGCUUGCUUCAGUAGCCAUUAAAAUUAGAAUUAUACAGAGAAAAUUGGUCUGGCCUCUACACAAGUUUAACACACAAAUUCAUGAAAUAGUCCCUAUUUUU
rnacentral:snRNA from 1 species